rnacentral:tRNA from 11 species
UCAGCCUUACACACUGAAGGUCGUGGGUUCGAGUCCCGCACU